AUACUCCGGUUUCUCUUCAGAUCGUAUAAAUCUUUUGCCUUUUACUAAAGAUUUCCGUGGAGAGGAACAUUUAUGAGUUUCUACCCAAUUUUUUUCAGUUCACCUUUCCAUUAGUA
rfam:Chelonia mydas contig160330, whole genome shotgun sequence.